rnacentral:rRNA from 1 species
AUUGAACGCUGGCGGCAGGCCUAACACAUGCAAGUCGAGCGGAUGAAGGGAGCUUGCUCCUGGAUUCAGCGGCGGACGGGUGAGUAAUGCCUAGGAAUCUGCCUGGUAGUGGGGGAUAACGUCCGGAAACGGGCGCUAAUACCGCAUACGUCCUGAGGGAGAAAGUGGGGGAUCUUCGGACCUCACGCUAUCAGAUGAGCCUAGGUCGGAUUAGCUAGUUGGUGGGGUAAAGGCCUACCAAGGCGACGAUCCGUAACUGGUCUGAGAGGAUGAUCAGUCAAACGGGAAGUGAGACAGGGCCCGGACUCUUCGGGGAGGCGGCAGGGGGAAAUUUUGGAAAAUGGGCGAAGGCUUGAUCCAGCCAUGCCGGGUGUGUGAAGAAGGUCUUCGGAUUGAAAAGCACUUUAAGUGGGGAGAAAGGGAAGAAAUUAAAUACCUUGCUUUUUUGCCUUUACCAAAAGAAAAGACACCGGCUAACUUCGUG